GUAAUAGGUGGGGCUGUCAAUCCCAGUUUGAAGUCCGAGAUUCAUUUAUGAGAAUUCGAGAUCCUAUAAAAUUUAAUUCGAUAUAUAUACCGGAUGUCGGAAUUGGAAUCCUUAACCGAAUUUCAGUCCUUAGCAUAACCGAAUCGGAUGAGGCCCAAUCCGUGUGGUUCAGUUCCAACAUCCCAUAAUACUAGGGAUAUACCACUAAGUUUGCAUCACCCAUGUAUUAGAUGUCGAGAAGAUUUUUUUAUUUAUGUUGAAGCAUUGUCGAGAAGAUUAACAGAAACAUCAUUAUUUUUUUAUUUUAUUUUUUGGUAUCUUUUCUACCUGUUCUCUGCUACUCUUCGACUGAUUAACACAAAUAUUAGUGAAACAAAUUAGGGCUCUUCUACCCUUCAUCUCCUCAUACAUUAACACAAAGCAGGAAAAUGUCUCUUAAAGCUUCCAAUCAAGUUGGAACCUCAAGGUCAAACACUCAAUCAAAUUCCUCACAAUCAAAAUUACAAGAAGAACAAAGUGUUUAGUGUUCAGCAAUUGCUUCAACUCCUGUGAGUAGGAAAUUACCAGAACCAGAUGGAAACAAUGAUCCCAUGUCUUCUUGGAAAAACUGGGGUGAAGCAGGUUGUCAUAAAAAGUACAUGCCAUCAUUGUAAAAAUGUAAUUGAAGCAGCAAGUGCAAAAGGAGCUAGCCGCUUGGCUGCUCAUCUAAAGAUCUGCCCCAAGAAAGAAGAGAGCCAGGACAGAUGAAGAUUUCUACUGCAAUGAAAACAGCAGGUAACUAAGCAACUAAAUUAGCUAAUUGGAAGUAUGAUCCUGAAGUUACUAGGUUAUGUGUUGUUAAAAUAAUUGCUAAGCAUGAUUACUCUCUUAACAUGGUUGAUCAUUUUUAUUUUAGAGAGUUUUGUAAGUCUUUGAACCCUGUUGCUAUGAUAAUGUCUAGGAAUACAACUAUAAUGAUUUGAUGAAGUUUUAUGCUGAAAAGAAGAAGAAUUGCAAGUAGAAUUGGAUAAUUUGAACUCUAAAUGUAGUCUUACAACUGAUAUGUAGACUGCUAAACAUGCUAAAGAUGGUUAUUGCUGUGUAACAUGCCACUAUAUAGAUGAUGAAUGGAAGUUGCAUAAGAAAACAUUAGCUUCCAUUAUAGUGCCAGCCAUCACCACAUAUAUGAGAUGUUCUCAUAGAAUUUAUCAAAACUUGCACUCUGGAAUGGCACAUGGAUAGGAAAUUGUUUGCUUUAACUACUGACAGUGCUCCUGCAAAUGGUGUUACGAUGAGAAAUCUGAUUGGUUGGCUACAUGGUAAGAGUUGUGUGGUUUUUAAUGGGAAAAUGUUCCACAUGAGGUGUAGCAACCACUACUUCAUUUAAUUGUAUUAUAUGGCAUGAAAGUAGUUGUUGAGUUUGUAGAAGAAAUUAGAGUGUGUUAAAUAUGUUAAGUCUUCAUAAGCUAGGAAAGAGAAGUUUGCAACAGCAUUGUCACAAUGUAGGUUGUCUGGAAAGUCUGUCGGUUUAGAUGUGGAUACUAGAUGGAACUCCAAUUUUUCAGUGCGUAUGAAUUUGAAAACACCACUGCAACUCCUGAUUAUUUUGCCAACUCUGUCUCUAGAUCUAUUAUGGAUGUAGGCAACUCAAGUAUAACUGACCUUGAGCAUGAUGAGUUUAUGAUUCAAAACAUUGAAUUUGAGGUUCAGAAGUCUGAGUUGGAGAAGUAUUUAGAAGAACCAUUGCUUAACAAAGGCUCACCCAAAGAUGAGUUUAACUUUGAUAUAUUGAGUUGGUGGAAGCUAAAUGCCCCUGAGUACCCAACUCUGUCUAAGAUUUCAAGAGAUGUGUUGGUUGUUCCAGUGACAAGUGUGGCAUCAUAAUCCACGUCCAAUGAUAGUGGUAGGGGUUCUUACAACACGUAGAACUUCAUUAGCUCCAGAAUGUGUCUAAGCAUUGCUUUGUGUAAGUAAUUGGUUGUCAGACUUCUUUUCUAGAGGUAACUUUUCUUUUCUUUUGCUCUAUCUUCAGUUCUUCAUAAUUUAUUUGUUCUUCUUCUAAGUUCUGACUCUGAUUUGAAUGUUGAUAUGGAAAUUACAUAACGAAGUUGAUGCAAUAUGCAAGCAGCCAAGCAGGAACUGGCAUUGUAUUUCUUUUGCAUCUGUUUGUGCUUUCUUUUCAUGUGUGAGAGUGAGAAUAAAGUAGUGUGGAUUUUAGAACAUGCUUGCAUGUGUUAGAAGACAUUUUAGAACUGAAUUCUACACUCCAGAGUCCAGAACUGAAUCCUAUACUUCUGUUUUUCAGUUUUUUUGUUUCUUGUCAGAUAGCGGAUUUUAUCGGAGUAAAAUCCGAUAUCCGGUUGCUUAUUGUAACGGAAUCGGAUUAACUUUUUGGAAUUCCGUUGGAUUUUAUCGGUUAUCCUUUGACAGCUCUAGUAGUAGGCGUUUGUGAAUCCAUCAGGUGUCAUUUUUUGUUAUUCAGUUAUGGCAGCUGUCAGUUGAAAGUUGCCAUAAUGUCUUAGCUGUGUCCUAAUGGCCUAUUUCCUUUUCUUGAUAUCAUGUUAUCUGGUCAUUGUAUAUAAGUGUCUUGUACUCAUUUGGUUUUGGUAAUGGGAAUCUUUCCAUUCGUUUGUACUACUUAACCACAAAUAACAAAAAAGGCUCGAGAAGGGUAAAUUUGUGUUCGCCAAAAGAUAGGAAGUGCCACUUGCAUAAAUCGAUACAGAAGUCUACGUACUACGUACUACACAACUUGAACUUCGAUAAGCCAAGUGAUCGAUAAAGGUUUUUCAACUUGGUUGUCGCAUCAAUAAGUAGCUGUAAGUAAACUAUCCAAGAUGUUAUUGCGUUAUCACCAUGGGGACAUUGUGUAAAUUGCAGAUUAGUUCACCUUGUUAAUGGAUGCUGAGAUAAUUCAAAUUGUCUUAUUAUCAUCUUUAA